UUCUUCCACCCGCAUCCGACUCCUGUCCUUUCUCUUUCCCCCCUCGCGCAGCCGCCGCCUUCGCAUCCUCCUCCAGCCAAACGGUCGCUCGCCCCCUCCUCUCCUCUUCCUCCAUCUUCCCCAUCUCUUGUUUGGGUCCGGCGCCAUCGCUUGAGGUGGUCCGACGACGGGGGGAGGACUAGGGGAGGCCGGUGAUGGGGUAACGAGCAGCAAGGUCGGGGAUGGGGGGAAGAGCAGGGGCGGCAGGGUCUUCCGGUGGGUCUUCCGGUGAUGGGGGGAGGAGCAGCUAGGAGGGCGAUGGGGGGAGGAUCAAUGAUGCCGGAGCUGAGGCACCGGCCACCGGCAACCUACAGCCCUCUUUCUCUGCAUUGUCAUCCGCACGGGGUGAGGACUGGGAGUGGAGACGACAUGGAUGGCCUCCACCAACGGCUGGUGCCAUCCACCCCCAAGCCAUCUCCUGUUCUACCUCCACCAACGGUGGUUCUGCUAUUUUCUCUUCAGAUUUGAUUCCUGCGGGAGUAUGUCCAGCAUCAAGAAGAUCAUCAUCAAUUAGUAUAGACUUUUCGGUCAUGUAAGUACAGACUUCUUUAUGAUUCUUUCCUACAACGAACGGGUGUAUGCUGACGAGGUUAGGCCAAGGUGAUGUUGUGUUGAUUUUUUUUCCUUUUUCUUUUGAGUUGCUGGUAAGUGUCACUGCCUUGGUGCACCAUCAAGAACCAUGAAGAGAAACAUGUGUAUGGCUGGACAUAACAUUUUUGAGCAGUUGGAUUCCUAUAUAAUGAGCAACUGAGUAUAUUUGCGGCACGAGUAAUAUAUAGUGUUUGAAGUAGGAUCUUGAACAAGUCUACAGUAUUAUGUUAAAUUUGUAGAAACUGAAGGUUAGUGAUUAGUAUGGUUCUAUUUUAUGAGUCAAAAGCUUGAUUUAUGCAUUACAUCCUUUAAUUCUCCAUAAAUUUCAGUAUUCAACUUUUUCAUUAACCAUACAAAAUAGUAAUCCUGCUUCAGAUUCAAGUGACCAGGUAUUGAUGCGAAGCGUGGCUGAACGCAACUCCAAGCAGAAAUAUUAAUACAUCUAUGGUUUUACUUUUCGUGCCAAAAGCUUGAUCGAUGAUCCUCAAUGCAUUUCAGUUAUUAAUGCAACUGUCAGACUUGCAGAAGCUGUGUCACUAUUAUAAUGCCCUGCAAUGCCUAAUUUUCAGAUUCAUCAUGUGCCAAUGAGGUGAUGGCACAUCACAAAUGAGUUAGUUCCUCUAUUAUAUCACACUCGAUUCUGUUUGCAUCCUGUUGUAAAUAGAGUACUUUCUCAUGCUUCAUAGACGAAUCCUGGUAGAAAUAGACUAUUUGAAAAUCACGGUUGUGCAAAGUUGCAAAGUUACUAAAAAAAUAACACAUGAAUAUUCAGAAUUAGUUUAUAGUUGAGAAAGAUAUUUUGCACAUGAAAAAAGAGUACGGAGGAAUAACCAUUAAUGUAACAAAUGGUUAUUGAUUCGCAUUAUUAAUUCACAAUGGCAAGAUUGCAACCUGGGAAUAUCCAUCGGCAUGUUCUUCAGACUUUGCGCAAUUGUCAGAUGGUGAAAUACAAUGAGGGAAAAAAUGCUGCAAUCCAAAAGCCUGCUUGGUUGAAACAUUUUUAUGGAUGGGGAGUAUCCUCGAUUUCAGGCAUCAUCAAUACAUCUUUGUUUCCAUUGACAUUAAGAUUUAGCUUUUCAGUUAUUGCGCUUUUUCCUUCUUUAGACUGAGAGUGCGGUCGUUAUUAUACAAUCUAGGUAACAGUAUAUCGCUGCACAAAGUCAAACAAUUAUUUUGCAGUCUAACCAUUUACGAGAUAGGUUAUGUAUUAUCAUGUUCUUCUAAAUGGAGCACUUGUGGGAGUUAGACAUUCUCUCUCCUUCCUAAAGAUGCACAUGAUAUGUUUUUUACUUUGUGUUGUAAGUUCCAGUUUUUCUAUGAUGCGCAUGCUAAUAAUAUCUCUCAAGAGAUUGAUAGAUUAUAAUACAUGUCUUUAACAAUUAAUAACAAUAAACAGUCACGUUCUAAAAAUUUGACUAGGCUUUACUAUCCUGUUUAUUAUUGCAUUUCAUAGAUCGUUGUAAGCGUCAUAAUUUCUUUCGUUAACCCAAUUUAGUUGUUUCAAUUCAUAUUUAUACCAUGUUGUGGGCUUACAAAAAAGAGAUAAUAAAUUCCAGUCUACUAGGCUGGCACGGGAUACUGGGCCAGGCGAGGUUGAUCAACUUGCUCCAUUGCUAAAGCCUUGACUUUAUCCAUCCCCUCCUUCUCUGCUCCGUGCACCAGCCUUCUCUCAUCACCCUCUCUCUUCCCGUCCAUUGCCAAUGUUCCUCUGCAUCGGAAAGCUGACUUUAUCCCUCACCCGCAGGAUCUGCUCCCACCCCUUUACGCGUCAUGCCAGCAAGUCAGUUGCUCAGGUGGAUCCUCACCAGAUCAAGCUGCCUCGCCCACUUCAAGGCGAACCUUGACCAGGGCGGUAUUAUUUCAGUUUCAAAUCAAUAUUUUUUCCUAGAGGCAUGGUUAAUAUUAAAUGUAUUACUUUUGAGAUAAAUGCAACAGUGUAGCUAUCGUCCGUGGGUGAAAUCGAUAUUUGUUUCAUUAACAAGAAUAGAUCGAUCGUCUCAUGCAGAUGCCAACCAUGAUCUGUUAAUGGAAAUUGCAAAAGUGUCCAAUUCAUCCUAGCUAAUUAAAGUUAGCUUGUGUACAACAGCAAAUAAAACGUUUGUUUACAAGCUCUCACUACUGCAGGAUGCUGCUAACGCGACACUACGAUCAG